CUCGCCCGGGGGACAUCGGCACCGGGACGGGUGACCCUUCCCUGAUGUGCUGCGGGACUGACCAGCCCCGGCUGGAGCCCGGCAGUCGGGUACCCGAGGGCAGCUCCAGCCACUGCUGUCGUUCCGGUGCCGCUGAGCUGCUGCCCAGUAGCGCCGAGAAAAGCCGCCCCUGGGCGGCGAGGAAAUCCAACGCGCAGUGGCCGUGCUCCGACCAAGGUCCUGCUUUUCAUUCCAGGAUCUCCAACCUUACAGAGGAAAUGGGGUUCAUCUCAGAAGGUGACGAUCACCUUCAGCUUUAAGCUUCUUAUUUCAGUCAGAUCUGAGUCCGUGACAGGGGCACAAACCCAGUAGAUAAAAGAGAGAAGAAAAAAACUAUCCUAUAUAUCAACAGCACAGCCAGCCCCAGCCCCGUGACCAAUGAGACAAGGUAUGUGGUGGGUUGUGCACUCCAGGGGAGGGGGAGAGAGUAGGGAGAUGCAGAUGGGUCUAACAAAAAAUAAAGCAAUGGUAGUGAUCUGAGAUGGAACAGUAACUUAAUAAAUCCAACUGUGGGAA